ACAUUCAAAAUUCUGAAAAUAUCUUUGAUACACUAAAAUUUUAAUACGCACCGAUUAUAAUUAAAGUAGGGUAUAAUUGUAAAAGAACAAUUAUGAAGAACUGAAAAAGAAAAGAAAAAAGUUUAACAGACCCCACUCCAGAGCAGUUGCUCUUCCUAUCAGUUUCUUCUGGCACGUUCUAUUCAAAAAAGAUGAAAGCAAAACUGAAACCAUCCAAAACCCACCAUGGCCCUCAAACUUGGAAACGCAUUUCCUCCCCUCCCAUGUUUCGCAGAGCAAGAAUCCUCAUCUACUCACGGCAUAAAAAGGGAGGAAGAUUGAAGGAAAAAGAGCUGAAGCAAUCAAUAUUGGAACCCCCAGUGUGCUCAUCAAUCUGUAUUUGUAAGAUGUUGCAGUGUAUGAGAGAGGCAAGAAAAUUAUGGUAUGAUGCUGUUAACACCGAUCGACGUUUACUCAGAUUCUAAAUCAGACGGUCCAUCUCGCAUCACCAACCCUCAGUCUCAGGUAAUAUGACGCCCUGCCUCUGCUUCUUUCAUAUUUGAACUGUUUCCUCUGUAAGGGUUUAGUUGGAUUAUUCACUUGCAUAUAUUCAGCUUAGCAUUCCAAGUGUUUGCUAAAAUGCCAAAGUUGAUUUUAGUUUGAACACUUUGUUGGUCGGUUUUAUUUUGUAUUAUCUAAUUUUGCUUUGUAAAUAAGAAUUGGGAAAUGAACAGAAAUUAGAAAAGCUUAGUUCUUUAUAAUAAAACUAAUUUCAAUGAACGCAACAAUUCCAUAAUGAGGGUGAAAAUGAAAUUAGAAGUGAGAACAGUGAAGAGAUUUGUACGUUGUAUCAAUUUGUAAGAUUUUUUAGUGUUGGUGAAAUUUUGUCUUUUUAGUUCUUUUUCUUUGUUAUAUUGACUUUUUGAAUAAUAGUUUCAUGUACGAGUAUGCGAUGCUUCAAGAUGCCAAGUCCGGUCAAGUUUUCAUGUGUUUAGGCUUGCACAAAACUUAAGUAUUUCUUCCUAGGAUUCAUGUUAUAUGGAUAUUAGCCUCUCACCCUGUGCUUUGCAUGCUUGAGACCUUUUCAACAGAACCGAAGUUUGAGAAAACUGUUGGAAUCAGUGGAGUGGGGAAUAAAUUUUAAAACUCAACGAUGUGUGGUCCAGUCAUUAGUUCAAGAACUCAAAGUCCAGAAUUGCUUCAAUGACUCCGGUUCCAUGCUUUCUGUUUAUUAAUCUUCAAUAUGCAGAGCAUCAAUUCUUUAAAUGAUGGAAUCGCCUCUCACCUCGCACUCUCUGAAGCAUAAUGGUUCCAGAAGACGCAGAGGAAACUAUAUUUAAGGAAUUAAAAGCAAAAUGAGGAUCAGAGUUGGAGGGAGUUCAAGAAUAACAUGAAAGCAAAACAAAAGGGAAGCAUCAUGGUGAGUGAUAAGCACUGAUCAUGACUUCUUCGAGCAGUGAACCAAAGUCGCUCUUCUUCAUGGACAAGUCCAAAGGUACCUUAUUCAUACCUUUGUUUUUUUGUUUUUUGUUUUGAGUGACAUAUUUGUCUUUUUUCGCUUUCAGUAAUUGAAUUGCUUCUGUAUAACAAAUCCCAAUUUCAGGUCAGCUGUUGGAAUCUGGCAUUUUUUUAAUGGGUUUUAUUUUUCGUUGGUAGAAUGCAUUUUAUUGUGGUUUUAGUGUUUAGGGUGAUAGAGUGGUGGAGAUGCAGAUGGAGGUGUCGGUAUUUUGGCCAUGUUAAAAGGAAAUUGCAAGUUUAUGGUUUGGUUUAAACAAUUGUGUGGCUGUGUGUUCGCUUUAGGUGAAGGUGUCGUGAUGCAAAAGAAACUAUGUUUCUAGCUUUAGAUUCUGUGUUUCUAUGUACUAAUUGGGCGAUUUCUCAAUGUUUCUAUUAGGUUAUUUCAUAUGGAUGCUAGAAGGGACAUAAUUUUCUGUGGUGGCAAUUACACUGUGAGCUUUUCUCAUUCUUCCUGUCAAAAAUUAUAUAAACUGUGUAAUUUGAUUUCUGAAAACUGCUUUUGUCCCUAAUGAUGUUUAUAUGGAUGCUAUAAGUUUUGGUGAAAAUUAAAGUUUGUGAAGAAUGUCAUCUCUCAUUUAUGGCAGUUGCUUUAUCCAGGAAUGUCAUAUAUGUAACUUUAAAGUUGUUGGCUUUGAAUAAACCAAACACUUGAAGGGC